UUCAUCCUUUAAGACCCAAAAUCUAGUCCAUGUCUUAUCUUAGCCCAACAAAAGAACAUAAAUGCAAACACCAGAGUAAACCCUAGCCCAAAUUUCGACCCGCACAGCAGCCCAAAUCAGCUUAAUAACGAACUCUAGAUCGCCGAUUGUUGCCUUCUGCUGCCACCACCACUACGAUCGCUGAUGUAAACAUGACCGCCACCAUACACAUGGGAACACCGUAGUAAAAAACAGCGAAUACCGCCAAUUAACAACAACAAACGCCGCUACAUCAACCUUAACCAGAAACAGCCGAAAAAACUUAGAAACAUCACCCUCCCACAGCCACCACGGUGUAGAUUCAAAGCCACCAAACGUCGAAAAAUACCACCGAAAACAGUACCAAACGCCGCCAAACCACAACCGCAAAUAACAACAAUUACCGUAGACUAAGAUGUUUGGA
rnacentral:lncRNA from 1 species